CCUACGGGUGGCAGCAGUAAGGAAUAUUGGUCAAUGGGCGCAAGCCUGAACCAGCCAUGCCGCGUGCAGGAAGACGGCCUACGGGUUGUAAACUGCUUUUGCAGGGGAAUAUGUACUCUGAGAAUAAGGAUCGGCUAACUCCGUGCCAGCAGCCGCGGUAAUACGGAGGAUCCAAGCGUUAUCCGGAUUUAUUGGGUUUAAAGGGUGCGUAGGCGGCUUUUUAAGUCAGGGGUGAAAGACGGUGGCUCAACCAUCGCAGUGCCUUUGAUACUGAAGAGCUUGAAUACACUAGAGGUAGGCGGAAUGUGACAAGUAGCGGUGAAAUGCAUAGAUAUGUCACAGAACACCGAUUGCGAAGGCAGCUUACUAUGGUGCAUUGACGCUGAGGCACGAAAGCGUGGGGAUCAAACAGGAUUAGAUACCCUUGUAGUC
rnacentral:rRNA from 1 species